AAUAUCUUAUCUGGCUAAAUGCUAAUUGACGGACGGUAGUGGCUAUUUUUUUUCCUAGAUCUAGAUCUGAGUCUUGAGAGCAGAGAGUCUAAGAGUGAGUAAGAGAGUUCGAUAGUUCGAUUGUGAUUUGUGAAGACGACGACGAUGACUGUGAAGCACUGAAGCUUCUUCUCUUCGUCCCGAAUCCACGCCGAGUCGCCAACUGUGAACUGUGAAGCUUCUUCUUCUCUUCGAUAGUUAGAUACUUCGAUCGAUCGACCUCGACGACUGAGAAGGUUUGAUUUUUUCUUUUAUAUGAUUUUUCAUUUUUUCUGGUCAUUAUAUAAUAUAUCUCAAUGUGUCAUUUUUUCCUUUAUAUUUUUCAUUUUUUUUGAAAGAAAAAAAAAAUAAUGUUUGAGUUUGAUACUGUAUUUAGAUGCUAAAACUGUAGAAAAACUCUUGUUAAGAAGAAAAGAAUGGACAUGGAGAAUCUGGGAAGAGAAUCCACAUCCCUUUCUUGCAUGUUCGAAAGAUGGGUUUUUUGUGGGUGAUACUGAAUUUAUCAGGGCAGCCAUGAAUGUAGGUAGUAAUUUUUAUAGGUUUAUGUAGCUUAAAUCCAAAAUUUUUGACCUACUUUUCACUUGCAGAAAAUGAGAAACCCAAAAAUUAAGAUUGUGAAAUUCUACCAAGUAAGAAAAUGAAUUAUAUAAUGCUAUGGAGAGAGAUAUUGACUGGGUAUGAAAACUUUUUAACUUGAUUAAAAUUCGCACAAUCAGAUUUUUAGUAUUUAUAUACUACAUAUGUUACUGAUGAAGAAUUGAAAAGUUGAGACAGAGAAGAAGAAUGAACAUACACUGGGGAUUUCAAUUGAUAUAUUUAUAUACUACAUAUGUGAUGUCUUGCUCUUGCAAAAUGGCAGAUAUAACAGAUGAAGGAAUUUCAUGUAAGCAUUUACAAAUUUCACUUAUUAUUUGGACUUAUGUUUUGUUAUGUUUUCCUUAUUGUGAUAUAUUUCAAUAUCGACAGCAAUCAGAGAAUAAGACUUUUUCUGCAUUUUUGGUCUCCCAAUUUUCAAAGUCACAAAAUUUAGUUAAAAUGCAAAAGAUAAUCUCCAGAAAAAGUGUUAUAUUACUGAGAAUUCAAUUCAUGUUUGGUAGAGAGACUCAAAAUCUUAUUUCUGGUAGCUUUUUCUUAAGAUUAAUAGUUGAAAAAGCAUUACAUUUUAUGUCUAUGAUGAUAAACAGGCUGGUCCACGAAUUUGCCUGGGGAAGGAAUUUGCUAAUUAUAUUCGAAUCAAUUAUGAUCUUAGCUGUUGAUUAUGAUAAAUAGCAAGAGUUUUCUCUAUUUUACUCAACUGAUUGAACAGCUUUUGAAGAACUUCCUUGCAAGGUGCCCUAAAAGAAAUUCAUUCAAUCAUUCACAUUUCACAAGUUGUACUGAUGCAGUUUUAAGCUUUUGUUAUCUUAUGUUAGUUCCUAGGAUUGCAAUUAUGCAUUAUGCAAAGAUGAUACUUGUUGUCUUGUUGAGUUGUUGUCUUGUUGUCUGUUGAUGAGAUUCUGUUGCUGUAUAGUGCAGAUGGUAAUUCUGUUGCUGCAGAUGGGAUUGCAAUUUGCAAGUAUGCAUUUGGAUGGUGACAUGUCAACAGUCAAAUGAAAUGAAUAGUUUUUGUUUGAAUUUUUCAUUCUGUAUUUGGAUUUUGGAGCUUCUUUCUGUAAUUCUGUGAUUUGUAUUAUUGUAUGUAAAUUAUAAUAUGUUACUGUUACAGCAACUUAGAUUGUGUUUUUUUGUGAUUUACAGAUUUUUUUUU
rnacentral:lncRNA from 1 species